rnacentral:rRNA from 1 species
CCUACGGGUGGCAGCAGUGGGGAAUCUUGCGCAAUGGGCGAAAGCCUGACGCAGCGACGCCGCGUGGGGGAAGAAGCUCUUCGGGGUGUAAACCUCUGUCGGGGGGGAAGAACGGCUUCAGGAGGAAAUGCCUGGAGUGUGACGGUACCCUCAAAGGAAGCACCGGCUAACUCUGUGCCAGCAGCCGCGGUAAUACAGAGGGUGCGAGCGUUGUUCGGAAUUACUGGGCGUAAAGCGCGCGCAGGCGGCUCUUUAAGUCUGCCGGUCAAAUGCCGGGGCUCAACCCCGUGCCCGCCGGAGAUACUGGAGAGCUGGAGACACGUAGAGGCAAGCGGAAUUCCGGGUGUAGCGGUGGAAUGCGUAGAGAUCCGGAAGAACACCGGAGGCGAAGGCGGCUUGCUGGGCGUGAUCUGACGCUGAGGCGCGAAAGCGUGGGGAGC